rnacentral:rRNA from 1 species
AUUGAACGCUGGCGGCAGGCUUAACACAUGCAAGUCGAGCGGAGAUGAGGUGCUUGCACCUUAUCUUAGCGGCGGACGGGUGAGUAAUGCUUAGGAAUCUGCCUAUUAGUGGGGGACAACAUUCCGAAAGGAAUGCUAAUACCGCAUACGUCCUACGGGAGAAAGCAGGGGAUCUUCGGACCUUGCGCUAAUAGGUGAGCCUAAGUCGGAUUAGCUAGUUGGUGGGGUAAAGGCCUAUCAAGGCGACGAUCUGUAGCGGGUCUGAGAGGAUGAUCCGCCACACUGGGACUGGGACACGGCCCAGACUCCUACGGGAGGCAGCAGUGGGGAAUAUUGGACAAUGGGGGGAACCCUGAUCCAGCCAUGCCGCGUGUGUGAAGAAGGCCUUAUGGUUGUAAAGCACUUUAAGCGAGGAGGAGGCUACUGAGACUAAUACUCUUGGAUAGUGGACGUUACUCGCAGAAUAAGCACCGGCUAACUCUGUGCCAGCAGCCGCGGUAAGAC